CAUUGACCGAAUGAACAUAUUACUUCGACUCAUAAUCGGUUGACCGACCGACAAUCGAAUAUUAUCGACCGACAACAAAUGACUUGAUCAACCUCAGGCCGAAGAUCAUUGGCAUAUCAGAGUUACCAACCGAUGUACAUUCGGAUCUUCUACCGACUUACCUCUACCGACGUAUCAAUAUUACCGACAUAUAGUCGGCCUAUCUGCUCAACAUAUCCUAACCAUUAUGAACGGUUGUCGACUACAUGUUACGGUCAUUAAUAGGAGUAAACAGCCCGCUAACUCCAUGAU
rnacentral:lncRNA from 1 species